GCUGCGACAGGUGGCGGCGGCGACAGGCCGCCCGGCGUCCCCGCCGCCUCGGGCCCGGCCCCGCAGGCAGCCACGGCAGGUUUCUCCGUCCCGAGCGGGCGGGUGGACGGGGAUUCGGAGCGAGGGAGAGGGCGCACCUGCCCCUACCUUGUUGAGGUGAGGGUCGCGGAGCACCUCGUAGCCCCUCUUCAUGGUGAUCUGCCGGGGCCGGCCGGCGUCCCGGCACUCGGCUGCCUUCUCGUGUUGCAUGACGCGACGCGGCUCGGCUCGGCUCUGUUCACUGCGGUCAGGUCGCUGCGGGAGCCGAGGCGAAGCGGCGACUCCUCCUGCUGAGGUGACCGCCCGGCGGGGUGGUAUGAUCCUGCGGGAGGGAGGGGGCAGAGCCGCGGCAAAGCGCCGCCGCCACCGGGGGGGGUGUGUUUUGGGGGUGUCACCGGGCGCUGCUGCCGCUGAGUCACCGGCAGCUCCGCGCACACCCGGACGGACAACCAGGUGUGGGGUGGGAAGCGCGGGGGGUGCGGGUCCGCAGCCCUCCCGCGCCCGACAGCCCCCGGUGGUGUGACCUCGCCCCGGGCCCCGUAUUUGCUAAGGGGUUAGACCGCCCUCCCCUUUACCGCUUCAGAGAGCCCCUCCAGAUGGCUCUGUGCCCGCUAGAUACAGGCUGGGCCCUAUCACCUGCUGGGGGGAAUCGUACCAGCGGUUCUCCCUUAUCACACUGGGUUUUACUCAGGGCCUGGUGUUAGCCGGUGCAGGGGGCAUGGCCACUUAGCGCUGAGGACCACCGCGUUGUGCACAAACUAGGCCUGUGUUCUUUAACAACAGUCAAGUUUCACUAUCCUUCUGCUAUUAAAUGACUCUGAAAUCCAACCUUUCCCGAAGGGGAUGGGCUGCAUAGCUUUGUACAGUCAGGAGCAUGUGUUUGACGUAAUUAGCUUUGGGUUGUGGAGGUAACCGUGUGCUGGCCUCAGCUGUGCUGCUUGUGGUUACACCUGAUCGGGAUGGAGGGGUAUUAGGGCAGAGCAGGUGUUGAGCUGGUUUGUACCGCUAUUCCUGAUGUUUGUUUGCAAUAUGUUCUGAAAUUGUUUGCAUACAAUCCAUUGUGUGCUGCAUGACUGUGGCUUUGUUCCUCUAAAUUCAUGUAUGGAAAAGCAGAAAUGAUUUCCACAUGGGUACCACAGCCCUGCUAGAGAAAUGACACAGCUUGAAAGAACAUGGCUAUAAAAAUACUUAAGGAUAGAGGGUUUUGCUAUCUGUUGUCAAGCAGCAACAAACAGAUCAAAAUCUUCCAGCUUUUUUUAAACUUACCUCUUCACAUUUAAUCUGUAGGCCUUGUAGCCAUUCUACUACCUCAUAUUUUAUUAAAAUAAAAAAAAAAAAGGCUUCCACAGAAUCCAUCUUUUUAUGAAUUCCCUGCUAAGUAGCUCCAAAAAGUUAAUUUGAGGCUAAUUAAUGUAGGAAAAUUGGAAGGGUUCCAAGACUAUUUCUGGAAACUUGAUUAGCCAAUCAGCAGCAAAUUCAAUAAAUAAACUUCUCCCUUGCUCCACCAUCUCAGAAAGUAUUAUGAAAUCAGGAUUAAUAAAAAGAUUUGAACAAACUUUAAACCUGGAGUCCAGCCUUCCUUGUAUUUGCCUGGAUAGCUGAGGAUCUACCUACCCAAGCCCUGAGCAUUACCUUCAAUAGGUAUCAUGGUAGCAUUUCAGGUCGGUCUUAAUUAUGAUAAGAAUAAAAAGCGAAUAGAGUCAUGAUAAAAAUAAAAAGCAAUAUGGAAACAUCUUUUUUCCUUUGUGGGAACACUGAAACCAUCUUGAUAGAAUGCUAACCUAAAUGCAAUAUUUAUGCCCCAGAGAAAGCAAUGUGUACUGAUGUAAUUUUUAUCUUUGUGUUGCAAUACUGUCUAUAAAAAACUCUUUGAUUGAUGCCAAAAAUCACUUCAACCACUGUUGAGUACCUGUGCUGACAUCUGACCCCCUGCUAAGAACUUGUCCUCACUCACCUCACCCCAGUUAUAAAAGAGUACCUUGAGCAAGACCAAUUUUAGAGUGCCUCUUCUAUGACCUCACAAUAUUCGAAAUGCAAAAAUAGUUCAAAAUGAGCCAAAGGAGUAAUGUUCAGCAGUUCAUCUGCAGUCGGAGAUGGUUAUCCCAAAAGAGAUCUGCAUUGCACAAUAAAACUGUAUUACAAGAAUAUAAAUAAAGCUUUUGUAAGUGGCUGAA